rnacentral:miRNA from 2 species
UGAGAACUGAAUUCCAUGGGCU